rnacentral:rRNA from 1 species
UACGGAGGGGGCCAGCGUUGUUCGGAAUUAUUGGGCGUAAAGGGCGCGUAGGCGGUCGAGUAAGUCUGACGUGAAAUCCCUUGGCUCAACCAAGGAACUGCGUCUUAAACUGCUCGGCUUGAGUCCGGGAGAGGGUAGUGGAAUUCCCAGUGUAGCGGUGAAAUGCGUAGAUAUUGGGAGGAACACCGGUGGCGAAGGCGGCUACCUGGACCGGUACUGACGCUGAGGCGCGAAAGCCAGGGGAGCAAACGGG